rnacentral:lncRNA from 1 species
ACAAACACAAAAGACACGCUGAGGGGCCGCCGGCUCCCGCCGAGACUGCCGCCCGCACCCGGCCAGCCCCCGCCCCCGGCCCUGCACUCCCAUCCCGCUCCGUGUGCGCACGGCGUCGAACCCCCGAAGCCCGGGUUUGGGGCGCCCGGAGGGAAGUGGGGGGAGGGGAAGGCGGGCGGAGGCGCGGCGGGUGAACGCCCGGCCUGCGGGCGUCUCGGGCCGCGGCGGGGAGGGGAGGGAGGGGCUGCCCCCGCGCGGGCCCCGGCGCGCGCCCCCGAGGAGACCCGGGCGGCAGUGGGGGAGGAGGACGCGGUCGGCCGGGUCGCCGCGCCCCAUUGGAAAACGCUCCCCAGCAGGAAGCUGGCAAAUAGGAAUCCAGCGUCCCGCGCCCGCUGUCGGACCUGGCCGCUGCGGCAGCGGGAGGGGCGGACCGACGGCCUCCUUCCCGCCUGCGCGCUCGGCCAAGUGCGGCCGGGUCCUGCGGGACCGGCCCGAGUCCGCCGUAGACAACUUGAUCCGCUAAGACUCCUGGGCCGGCCGCCUGCGUGCAGGGCAGCCCCUCGCCGGUGUUGGCCUCCGGGAUCAGGGGACGGGGCUCGCUCUCCUCCCGGGCCCGGGCCCCCGACGCAAGAUGGCUGUGUCGCGUCGGCCUCUAAACAAUGUGUGGAGCGCGCAGCUCCUGCACCAGGGCCUGGUGGCUUGUCCUGCCCGCCCGUGGGGGCCGUGUGAUCUGUUUUCGGAAACCGAAAUAUUUAUUGUUGGAUUUAUCCAGGAAGGCUGUUCUGCAUUAGUUAAAUGCAUCAUAUCUUCAAGAAAUGUUAAAUGACAUGGGUAAUGUUUUCUUUGUAUGCUGGAUUUUUCAAUAGCUUCUACUUCUUGGCUUUAAAAAAUAUUUCUAACCAAGGGUCAGACCAUUUUAGGUAGAGUAAUUAUGAUCUUAGAUGAUUUGAACUAACUCAGCUGUCUGUCCAUUUGUGAAAUGGGAAUAAUAAUAUUUAUCUCUAUGAAGUUAGGCCACAAAUUCUUUCUAGUAGGUUCAAGUAUUUAAGCACCUGGAGAGGUGACUGGUUACCCUCCUAGUGGCUUCAGGAAGUUUUCUCACUGAAUGAAUAUUUAUUGAGUGCCAACUCUGCUCAGCACAAUUCAGGGGUGCUGGGAAUGCAGCAGUGAAUAACACAAGCAGUGUUCCUGCCCUCAUGGGGCUUAUGAUCUCUGGAAGCACUGCUUUGCACAGGGAAGUAGCACCAGGAGGGGGUAAAGAAAGAGGGACUUUGGAGCCCCAAGAUUGGCAAAAACUAUAGCUAAUGAGAGAGGUGAACUGUAGAGUCUAGAUAAUGGGGAAGGAGAGGUGCCAGAGCAAGAAGGGAUUCUCACAGGGCCCUACGGGUCAGUCCUGAAUUGGCUUUACUAGAACUCAGGCCCAGCACAAUGGCUCACAUCUGUAAUCCCAGCGCUUUGGGAGGCCGAGGUGGGUGGAUCACUUGAGAUCAGGAGUUUGAGACCAACCUGGCCAACCUGGAGAAACCCUGUCUCUACUAAAAAUAAAAAUUAGCCGUCAUGGUGGCACACGUCUGUAAUCCUAGCUACUUGGGAGGCUGAAGUGGGAGGAUUGCUUGAAUUUGGGAGGUGGAGGUUGCAGUGAGCCGAAAUUUUGCCACUGCACUUCAGCCUGGGCAACAGUAAGACUCCAUCUCAGAAAAAAAAAAAAAUAGAAUUCUUGGGCUAAUAAUGGCCUCAACAUUUGCAGUUAAAAAAGAAAUGGGGAGGAUGGGAGCAAAAGGUUUUAAGUUAAAAUAUUUUCCUUAGAAUAGAGUACUUAUGGCCAUGAAUUUAGAUUUGUUUAUAAGUAGAAAAGUAGAAUGGAAAGGAUUUUAAAAGCAACGCUAUUCAUAUCUGCUUGGCUCCUGUCAAUCAACUGCAAAGAUUACUGCCUCAUGGAGAUGCUUCUGGUCACUGUAAUGCUAUCUCCAUGCACACUUUAUCACAUUGAUUUCACAUCACCUUUUUAUCACAUUGAUUUACAUCUAUCAUUUGUUCACUUGCUUAUUGUCCAGUUCCUCCCCAAAGAAUAUAACCUCUGAGGUAAUGGUGGUCUUGUCUGUUUUUUCUCCUGUCCCUGAUCAUUUGCUGUACCUUUUUAUUAGGUGAUCUCAUCCAGUUACAUGGAAAUUAUCAUGUAGAAAAAUAGAAUAAAACAAUGAACCCCUUGUACCCAUCUUUAGAAAUUACUGACUCAUGACCAAUAUUGGGUUCCCUCUAUACUCUACUCACUUCUACCUCACCGAUUUGAAUUAUUUUGAAGCAAAUCCCAGCCUGCAUUAUUUCAUCUGUAGAUAAUUUAGUAUGUAUCAUAGGAGUCAAAUAGAUGAUUGAUGUGCCCCUUAAAUCUCUUAUAAUCUACAGAUUCUUUCUCUGUAUUUGUACUUUGUUGAAAAAUAUGGAUUGGCCAGGCGUGGUGGCUCACACUUGUAAUCCCAGCACUUUGGGAGGCUGAGGUGGGCUGAUCACUUGAGGUCAGGAGUUGGAGACCACCUUGGCCAACAUGGCGAAACCCUAUCUCUACUAAAAAUACAAAAAUUAGCCAGGCGUGGUGGCUCACGCCUGUAGUCCCAGCUACUUGGGAGGCUGAGGUAGGAGAAUUGCUUGAACCCCAGGAGGCGGAGGUUGCAGUGAGCAGAGACUGCGCCACUGCACUCCAGUCUGGGCGACAGAGCAAGACUCCGUCUCAAACAAAAGAAAAAUAUGGAUCAUUUAUCCUGAGGCUUUGGAUCCACACUGUCUAAAACUGUCCUUUCCCUCAGUCUUGUCCAGUAAAUAGCACUACCAUUUACUCAACUCAAACCAAAAAGUACAGACAGCCUCCUUGAGCCUCUUUUUCUUUCACCCCGAUAGCCAGUCUAUUGGUCUUGCUCUGAAAUGCUUAUCAGAAUGACCUACUCCUCUUCUCAUCUCUUACCUGCCCUUCAACAGUAACUUUCUGUAUGACCUUUCUCUUUCCACUCCUGCACCUCUGUAUUUUAUUUGCUACCAAGCAGACACAGAUUAGAUUAUAGAAUAUAAAUCAGAUUAGGUUGCAUUCUUGCUUAAUCCAUUCAGUGGCCUCCCACUGCUCUUGGUUAAAUUCCACAUGUGUGGGCCCUGGCAUUACCCCUCUUUCCCCUCCGCACUGUGCUGCAGACUAGCCACCCCUGGUCCAUCAAGUCCUCCUCUGCCUUAGGAUCAUUGCAUCUGUUCUUUCUGAAGCUUGAAUUCUCUUCCACCAGCUUUUGAUAGGACUGUCUCACCAUCUUCUAAGGCAAACUUUCUAACCUUUCCCAUGUCAUUUUCUUCUUAGAAAAUGAUCAUAUUUGGCCAGGUGCAGUGGCUCACACCUCUAAUCCCUGCACUUUGGGAGGCCGAGGUUGGUGAAUCACCUGAGGUCAGGAGUUCGAGACCAACCUGGCCAAUAUAAUGAAACCCCGUCUCUACUAAAAAUAUAAAAAAUUAGCCAGGCAUGGUCGUGGGCACUUGUAAUCCCAGCUACUUGGGAGGCCUGAGGCAGGAGAAUCACUUGAACCCGGGAGGUGGAGGUUGCAGUGAGCUGAGAUCACACCACUGCACUCCAGCCUGGGCAACAAGAGCGAAACUCCAUGUCAAAAAAAAAAAGAAGAAAAUGAUCAUAUUUGUAAGUUGCACCGAGGAUUAGUGGAGGGUAUUUGGAGCCACUCAUAUGGAACUUGAUUUUUAAAUUUGGGCUUGGCAUGGUAGCUCAAGCCUGUAAUCCCAGCACUUUUUUAUUUGUUUGUUUGUUUAUUUUUUUUUUUUUUGAGACAAGAGUUUUGCUCUUGUUGCCCAGGCUGGAGUGCAGUGGCUCGAUCUCGGCUCACUGCAACCUCUACCUCCCGAGUUCAAGCGAUUCUCCUGCCUCAGCCUCCUGAGCAGCUGGGAUUACAGACAUGCACCACCAGUUCUGGCUAAUUUUGUGUUAUUAGUAGA